GACAGAGGGGGCAAGCGUUGCUCGGAAUCACUGGGCGUAAAGGGCGCGUAGGCGGGAUGGCAAGUCGGUCGUGAAAUCCUUCGGCUCAACCGAAGAACGCCGGCCGAUACUGCCGUUCUUGAGGGAUGCAGAGGAUCGCGGAAUUCCCGGUGUAGAGGUGAAAUGCGUAGAGAUCAGGAGGAACACCCGUGGCGAAGGCGGCCCUCUGGCUCGACCCUGACGCUGAGGCGCGAAAGCGUGGGGAGCGAACGGG
rnacentral:rRNA from 1 species